UACGUAGGGGGCUAGCGUUGUCCGGAUUCACUGGGCGUAAAGGGCGUGUAGGCGGCCAGGUAAGUCCGUUCUGAAAGCCCGGGGCUCAACCCCGGGAGGCGGAUGGAUACUGCUUGGCUCGAGUCCGGAAGAGGCGAGUGGAAUUCCCGGUGUAGCGGUGAAAUGCGCAGAUAUCGGGAGGAACACCAAUGGCGAAGGCAGCUCGCUGGGACGGUACUGACGCUGAGACGCGAAGGC
rnacentral:rRNA from 1 species